rnacentral:rRNA from 1 species
GAUGAACGCUGGCGGCGUGGAUUAGGCAUGCAAGUCGAACGGUAUCAUCCUUUCGGGGAUGAGAGAGUGGCGAACGGGUGAGUAACACGUAGGUGAUCUACCCUCAAGACGGGGACAACCCAGGGAAACUUGGGCUAAUACCGGAUGUGAGCAACUUUUAGUUGUUUGAAAGGUGGCGUAAGCUGUCGCUUGGGGAUGAGCCUGCGUCCUAUUAGUUAGUUGGUGAGGUAACGGCUCACCUAGGCAAUGAUAGGUAGGCGGCCUUAACGGGUGGUCGCCCACACUGGGAUUGAGAUACGGCCCAGACUCCUACGGGAGGCAGCAGUCGAGAAUAGUCUACAAUGGUCGGAAGACUGAUAGUGCGACGCCGCGUGAACGAAGAAGCCCUUCGGGUGUAAAGUUCUUUUAUAUGUGAGCAGUGCUUUCUAUGUGAACAGCAUGGGGAGAGAGAUAUUAGCAUAUGAAUAAGCAACGGCUAACUCCGUGCCAGCAGCCG